UACGUAGGGUCCGAGCGUUGUCCGGAAUUAUUGGGCGUAAAGAGCUCGUAGGCGGUUUGUCACGUCUGCUGUGAAAACUGGAGGCUCAACCUCCAGCCUGCAGUGGGUACGGGCAGACUAGAGUGCGGUAGGGGAGAUUGGAAUUCCUGGUGUAGCGGUGGAAUGCGCAGAUAUCAGGAGGAACACCGGUGGCGAAGGCGGGUCUCUGGGCAGUAACUGACGCUGAGGAGCGAAAGCGUGGGGAGCGAACAGG
rnacentral:rRNA from 1 species